rnacentral:ncRNA from 1 species
CAUAAAGCUUUGACCAAGAGGAUCAAUUGGUGCUCACUUUUAGAGAGAAAUGGGUUGGUGAAACAUUUCAGUGAACCAUUGAUUGUAGCUUGCUAGCUGUCGAUUUGAAUUUGUUAAGUAAGGUCGACCGGAUCUUCAUCCGUUAACACAGAAUUUAAGUGGGGUUAAAAGCCCAAUUUAGGUGGUACCACGGCACUGUCGUCCUAAUU